CCCGGCGACCGGCGCACGGGUGAGUAACACGUGUGCAACCUGGCCGUGACAGAUGGAUAACCGGGAGAAAUCCCGCCUAAUACAACAUAAUGCCGGGAGGGGACAUCCCCUGCCGGCCAAAGGGGGCGACCCCGGUCACGGAUGGGCAUGCGGCGCAUUAGGUAGUUGGUGGGGCAACGGCCCACCAAGCCGACGAUGCGUAGGGGUUCUGAGAGGAAGGUCCCCCACAUUGGAACUGAGACACGGUCCAAACUCCUACGGGAGGCAGCAG
rnacentral:rRNA from 1 species